GCCUGGGUGGCUCAGUCAGUUAAGCAUCUGACUUCAGCUCAGGUCACGAUCUCGCGGUCCGUGAGUUCGAGCCCCGCAUCAGGCU
rnacentral:tRNA from 1 species